rnacentral:rRNA from 1 species
AUUGAACGCUGGCGGCAUUGCCUUACACAUGCAAGUCGAACGGCAGCGACGGGAGCAAUCCUGGUGGCGAGUGGCGAACGGGUGAGUAAUAUAUCGGAACGUGCCCGGUCGUGGGGAUAACGUAGCGAAAGCUACGCUAAUACCGCAUACGAUCUACGGAUGAAAGCGGGGGAUCGCAAGACCUCGCGCGAUUGGAGCGGCCGAUAUCAGAUUAGGUAGUUGGUGAGGUAAAGGCUCACCAAGCCGACGAUCUGUAGCUGGUCUGAGAGGACGACCAGCCACACUGGGACUGAGACACGGCCCAGACUCCUACGGGAGGCAGCAGUGGGAA